rnacentral:rRNA from 1 species
AUUGAACGCUGGCGGCAGGCUUAACACAUGCAAGUCGAGCGGAGAUGAGGUGCUUGCACCUUAUCUUAGCGGCGGACGGGUGAGUAAUGCUUAGGAAUCUGCCUAUUAGUGGGGGACAACAUUCCGAAAGGAAUGCUAAUACCGCAUACGUCCUACGGGAGAAAGCAGGGGAUCUUCGGACCUUGCGCUAAGAGAUGAGUCUAAGUCGGAUUAGCGAGUUGGUGGGGUAAAGGCCUACCAAGGCGACGAUCUGUAGCGGGUCUGAGAGGAUGAUCCGCCACACUGGGACUGAGACACGGCCCAGACUCCUACGGGAGGCAGCAGUGGGGAAUAUUGGACAAUGGGGGGAACCCUGAUCCAGCCAUGCCGCGUGUGUGAAGAAGGCCUUAUGGUUGUAAAGCACUUUAAGCGAGGAGGAGGCUACUGAGACUAAUACCCUUGGAUAGUGGACGUUACUCGCAGAAUAAGCACCGGCUAACUCUGUGCCAGCCGCCGCAGUAACAC